CCUACGGGGCGCAGCAGUGGGGAAUAUUGGGCAAUGGGCGCAAGCCUGACCCAGCAACGCCGCGUGAAGGAAGAAGGCUUUCGGGUUGUAAACUUCUUUUCUCAGGGACGAAGCAAGUGACGGUACCUGAGGAAUAAGCCACGGCUAACUACGUGCCAGCAGCCGCGGUAAUACGUAGGUGGCAAGCGUUAUCCGGAUUUACUGGGUGUAAAGGGCGUGUAGGCGGGGAGGCAAGUCAGAUGUGAAAACCACGGGCUCAACCCUUGGCCUGCAUUUGAAACUGUGUUUCUUGAGUACUGGAGAGG
rnacentral:rRNA from 1 species